CAAUUAUCCUCCUGCUGAACUGUACCCAAUCUAUGCUCAGAAAUCAACCACCAACCUUCUUGAGAAGUUUAAGAGCAUGCAAAUUGAUUAAAACGAUGAUCCAACUGAAAAUGGACAGCAUGAUCAUGAGGAGACUCUGGGGAACAAGGAAAAUCAUGGACAAGAAGCUGUGGUUGAAGAGGAUGCUAGUUCCACAAAUGGUAUUAUUAUUUUAGAUAGUAAGGAGGAUGAAGAAGAAUUGGGAGCAAAGGAUGAGAACAGUUCACCACAAAAAUUGGAAGUUAAAGACGAGAGCACUUCAGCAGAUGAAUUGGAAGCAAAGGAUGAGAACACUUCACCAUCCUAAGGUGAUGCUUUGCUGAAAGUAUGAAGUGAACAUAGGAUACAUUACCAGUUCCACAGGACAAGCUACGUCCAGCUGUUAUACGCAUAUCUUCUGGCACUUAUUUUUGCGAAAGAAUUAGCUAUGCCUGGAAAUGGAGAGAAAGAGUCAAAUUUGAGCAAGAAAAACGCUCACAAACUCAGUGAUUUAUAAGGUCGUUGAGCAUGGUCUGGGACAUCUGCCAUUUACAGAAAAACAGGUGGUCACUCCAACUGGUCUUUCCCAGAGCUUGGACAUCAAUUUUGAUUUCUCUAGACAAUAGUGGCAUGUGGAACCUUUGAAUAGACAAUCUAAACUCAUGGUAUCUAGGCCAGGAAACGUACAUUAGUGUUGUAAACUCUGAGUUUGUGAGAAGAAUUGCAGAAGCAGCAGAAAAUCAAAAACUCACAAGCCAGGCCCAUGAAAUUGUUGGACGAAUUAACGGCAGAUUUGGAACAUUGACAGCUGUUCCAAUACAUCACUUGGAUCGCUCUCUUGAUUUCCAUGCUUUUUAUGUGCUCUAUAUGCUGUCACAGGAUGCAGUGGAGCUCGUAUCUUGGUCACAUUGUUAGGGGUAUUGAGACAUAAAAAGGGAAAGUACGGGGUUUGUGUCAUAUGCAACGGUGGCAGGGGAGCUUCUUCACUUGUUCUUGAGGUCAUGUAUAUUGAGAUGAUUUCUUUGGAGCAAUUCUUGACAACAUUUCUAGUUGAGUCCUUUAGAAUGGAAGAAUGUAUUUCACUAAUUUUUGUAUACAUUUCUUGUUUUGUAUUUAGUGAUAAAGGAAUCUGAAUUGGGCAUAAAUUAUGUUGUAAUAUGAUUUCUUAAGCCUAGACUAGUAGACUACAUAUUGUAAUUACAUUUGAGUAAUUAAUAAAAAUCUAUUUAUGUUA